AAUGAACGUUGGCGGCGUGGAUUAGGCAUGCAAGUCGAACGAGAUCUGUAGCAAUACAGUGACAGUGGCGAAAGGGAGAGUAAUACGUAGGUACCUGCCCUCGGGUCUGGGAUAGCUGCGGGAAACUGCAAUUAAUACCGGAUGACGUCUCUGGACCAAAGGUGUGAUUCCGCCAGGGGAUGGGCCUGCGUCCUAUCAGCUAGUUGGUGUGGUAAUGGCGCACCAAGGCUAAGAAGGGUACGGGGUGUGAGAGCAUGCCCCCGCUCACUGGGACUGAGAUACUGCCCAGACACCUACGGGUGGCUGCAGUCGAGAAUCUUCCGCAAUGGGCGCAAGCCUGACGGAGCGACGCCGCGUGUGGGAUGAAGGCCUUCGGGUUGUAAACCACUGUCAGUGGGGAGCAAAUGCAUCAGGGUUCUCCCUGGUGUUUGAGCGAUCCGCAGAGGAAGCACAGGCUAAUUCCGUGCCAGCCGCCGCGGUAAAAC
rnacentral:rRNA from 1 species